rnacentral:tRNA from 1 species
GCAAGGGAAGUCAGCCAAGAACGUCGGGCUCAUAACCCGAAGGUCGGGAGUUCAAAUCUCCCCCCCGCCA